UUUACUCCCUACUGACCUUUGUUCUAUUGUUGUCAUUAAUUUUACUUUCAUAUAUGUUUUAAAUCCUAUAAACGUUGUGACUUUUGCUUUAAAAUAAUAUUUUCAAAGAUGUUUUAAAGUAAGGGAAGAACCAUUUUUUUACAUUUUUCAAAAUAUUUAGUUUUCCAGUGUUCAUCCCUGAAUUGUGUACAUCCAUAUUCUCAUGAGGAAUCUAUCUCUUUCUAUCUUAAGGACUUCCUUUAACAUGUCUGGCAAUGAAGGUCUAUUGGUGAUGAAUUCUUUUGCUUUUAAAAGCUUAAGUUUUUAUUUUGUCUUUAUUUUGAAAAUAUGUUGUCACUGGGUAUAGAAUUAUUGGUCGCCAUUUCUUUUUUCCCUUUAAGUGCUUUAAGAAUAUUUCCCCUCCAUUUUCUGGCUUCCAUUCACACUACUUGGUACGUAUGGUUUUCUUAUCUGAGUGAUGAAAAUGUUUUAGAACUAGAUAGUGAUGAUGAAUAUUUAUACUUAAUGCCACUGAAUUGUUAAUUCUAAAAAUGGUUUCACUGAUGAAUUUUAUGUUACAUGUAUUUUAAAAGUAUAAUAAAAAAUGAGCAAAGACAUUUAAUAGGUAUUUUUUCAAAGAAUAUAGACUAGUGGUGGUGUGUGCAUUACCCAGAUUCAAUAGAUAGCAACAUUUUAGUAUCUUUAUUUUAUCCAGUUCCCUACUUAUUUCUCUAUUUCUGUUAGAGUAUUUGUAAAGCAAAUCCUGUCACCAUAGAAUUUCAGCUGUAAAUUUUAUAGUCAUUGUGUUUAUCAAUGUGAUAAUUUGUUUCUAUACUGCUGUGUAUACGUCCAAUAGUUUAAUCCAUUGCUUUGAACUACUGGCUAGUAUUUCAGAGUGGGUAAGUACCAUCGUUUACUUAUCUGUGCCGACAGAUGUAAACACCUAGUCUCCAGCUAUCCACUUCCACAUUGUUAUGAAGACCAGCCUUGUACUUUGCUCUUGGAUUCUAUACGAAGCGUUUUCUGGAAUACAUACUCAGAACUUCUAGAGGACAUAUUCAUUCCUUACAGACCCCCUCUUCCAUAUUCAAAGCUAGCAAAGGAUGACUUUCAGCACUUAUUUUUCAGAGAGAGAAGAAGACUGGAAAGGGGUUUUAUAAUAAAAGCAGAUUCCAGUGAGAGCUCUUUUCAUGUCUCAAGAUGGUCUGUUAUAGGGAGACGUCUGUGUAGAAAAGCACAAACUUUUGUAAUUGUUUUCUAUGAAAUAAACAUGAUUCAUUAACUUUGAUGGCUAUCAAACAGCAAACAGAAUCCAUUUCACAACUUCUCUUGUCAGGUUAAGAGUGGCCAUUAUUGAUUUGUGUUACACAUUCUCCUUGUAUAUCAUACUUUUACUUUAAGGACUUCUACAUAGGAUUUGGAGCUUAAGGAUUCUAUUGAUUUCAUAACACUGACUAGUUUACUGCUCUAAUUUUGGUUACCUCUGUGACUUUGUAGGACUUACAGCCUUUUAUACUCUCUCUGAUUAGAAUGCAAUAUGUUUUUGCGAUGAUGGCAAAUUGCAGUGGCAUAUGUUAUUGAUUUUAGUUAAUGAAAAACUUGUUACUCUCUUUUCUUUUAAUGGGCUGUUGCCAGAAUUUUAUAACUGGAGGUCCAUUUUUCUUUAUGAAGAUUCUCUAUACUUUGAGAGGUUGGGGAAGCAUAUAAUGUUACAGUGGAAAUAUUGAAGCAAAUUUAUCAACAUUGUCCCAAGGACUGUGCUUAUAAACUAAGCAGGGCUGGCAGUAAUAAUGUUGAGAAAACAGACUCCAUUUGAUGAAUAAGCAGUUCCCUGACAGAUCCUGUUCUACUCUUUGUGUCCUUUUGUAGUUUACAAGUGUGUGAUAAGCAAUAAGUAGUACUUUCUUAAUUACAACACAAUAUCAAUCUUGUUUACCCCAAUUAAGUGGAGGUGAGAGGGAGAAAAUAACAUGACUUUCCCUAGAUGAGACCCUCUAGAUCAGUGUUUCUUAAACUGUAGUUUGUGGAGCACAUUUAUCAGUAGAGUGAAGGGAAGUUCAUUUUCCUAAUUGGUAGUUCUGUCUAGUGCUAGCUCUAGGACAAUUGUUAAGUCACCAAAGCUUCCUUUUGGUACUCUCUCACUGCUUUACUUCUUUUCACUUUUUCAUAUGCCCAUGACUUGCUCCUCAGUUGCUCAAGGUCUUCUCCUUUUUUGCACAAUGUUUUGGGUGGGUUCUUCAAUCUAUCCCCCUGUACUGUCCCUGCCCUGAAGUUUCAUCAUCAAAACUUUCUUCUCUGAUAGUCUAUUGCCUGUCAGUAAAGUAAGAGAGCAGGUUAUAUCCCUUGUGUACUGAGAAAACAUGAACCAUGGUUUGAAAAGGGAUAAAAGUAUUUCUUACUCUUGCUCUAAGAUAUUAGGCUACAUCAGAAUUGUUGGUCCAGCAGUACGUGCCAUACUAGGAGUUGUUUAAGUAUGUGUUAGAAUAUGGACUUAUUGUUCUACAAUUAUUCUUUCUCUGGAAGAGUAAUGAGAGACCUAUGAAGCAUACCCAGGGCAGGUGACAGUAAAGUGGUAGAAUAUAGAAAAUAUUAAUCCAGGUAUUCUUCUUAAUCUAUACUAUAAGUAUUACAAAGUCAUUUGUUUUCAGAGUCAGUUAUGGCCCAGUGAUUUGUCACAGAAUAAGAUUAAAAGAUGUUUGGAAUUGCUAAUAGAUACGGGGUUUCUUUUGGGGGUAACAGAAAUGUUCUGCAAUCAGUUGUGGUGAUGGUUGCAUACGCCUGUGAAUAUACUAAACACCGUUGAUUUAUACACUUUAACUGGGUGAAUUGUAUGAUCCAUGAAGUAAAUCUCAGUAAAGCAAUUUUAAAAAGAUGUAUUGUAUCUAGAUAGCAGGAAUAUUAAUGAUUACUUUAAGAGGCUAUAUGUUUUAAUGUAAACUUGAAUCCAUGCUUUAGAGUCAGACUGAUCUGGGUUUGAAUUUUAGAUUUACCACUUAGUAGCUUCAUGAUCCUAGGCAAGGUACUUAAAUUCUCUGAGCCCUACUUUCCUCAUCUGUAAAAUAAGGCUAAUAUUUUCAUAUGGCCACUUUGAGGACUGCAUGGAAGUGAUAUAGCUAAGAUGCUUAAUAGGAUACUUGGCACCAUUAUUAUAUUGAUGUAUUCUUUUCCUAAUGUGCCUCUUCUCAUUUUUUGAAGGUAAUGGAACCCAGUUAUUUCCAUUCUCAUUGUACAGGUAGAAAAAUAAUAAGUGAAUUGAAGAACUAGAUAAAAAUACACAAAACUUCUUGUAUCUUUUAUUUUCCAUCUGUAAAAUAAUAAUAUUUACUUAGUAGUGGUGAUAUAAGGGUUUGGAUAAAUUAAAUUUCACCUAAAGGGACUUACACUGUUCUUGGCACAUAUAUCCUACUCAGUAAAUGCCAGUUCCAUUCUUCAGUCACCCCUAUAUAAUGCUUCAUGUCUAGCACAUAAUAUUGGUUUCAACAAGUCUCCCAGAUAGAAAAAAAAUGAAGCUACUUUCUUAAAUGUAUUGGACAUCAGACACAGUCGUUCAGUCAUUUAUUUGUCCAUUCCUUUCAUAAAUACUGGUACCAUGAUGAAUAAGACAGAUACAGCCACAUUUAUGCAGAAUUUCUGGUGUCUUUAGAACUAUUUCCAUGAAUAAAAAUAAUUGCUACUACAGAGAAAAACCCAGGCUGGCCUGAGAGGUCAGUGGAGAGGCCUCUAUCACAUAGAGAGGGAUGAGAAAGUCUGGAAAGGACCCCCAGGGGAAAAAGUGGCAUCUGAACUGAAACCCAUGUUCCAGAGACAAGAAAAAGGAUAUUGUGUUUGCCAAUGCCCUUCCUCAGUAAAGUGUCAGUGCUUCUCAGCAUUUGAAUGCAGUCUUUAUUUCUGAUGAUUUCUUAGGAGUUUCAUAGUCAGGCUGUGUUAUGAGGAUCAGUUGUAACAGCCCAAAUGUUCCCUGGGACUGCCUUGACAGAGAAACAUAAAUUGUUUGGAGAAUAAUAAUGAUGAAAUUGCCUUUGGAGUUUGGGAUGUGGUAAAAUGAAUUCUCUCAUUUGUAUACCUAGAGUGUGUACAAUCAGUGUAAUUCUCCCAGGAGCCUAAUCAAUAUCUUCCCCUUGUGUUUCAUAUUGAGCUCUACAGUAACAAACCUGAAAGGGGAAAAACGUUUUAAGAUUAUUUUACCAGCUCUGGUCUUAACAGUCCAGGGGAAUUAUAUUUGAGGCCUGGCUCACAUAUGUCUUGUGGCAUGAAUGGGAAAGCUAGAGAGCUACAGCUUCUAUUAGAUUAUUUAAGAACAAUCCUUAAUUAAGUCUCUGUAGACAUAACAAAAAUGGAUGUGACUAAAGUGUAAUGGGAACAGUGGAAUAUGACCUGGUGUCUCCUAGCUAUCACAGUAUCUCUUGGAAGGGUCCAUUAUACAAUGUAGGUAAUUACACUUUGAAAAUUAUGCACAUGCAAAGUGAUAUUCCCUUGGGACAAUGCCAAUCACUAACAGGUAUUUGGACAAAAUAAAUGUUUUGAAAUAUUUCUUUCUGCCUUGGCCUAUUUUUAGAGUUCCUGCCUCCCCUGCAUACAGUGGACUGUAUAUUUUCUUUUUCUUUUGUGUAUUUAUUUAUAUAGGCAAGGAGAUACCAUAAAUAAAACUAAACAAAAAAAGCUAAAAAAACCCCAUGUGCUAUGACUUUUUCUUGGGUAGUCACCAUGUGCAUUUGUCCUUAUCAUGUCUAACUUCAAGUGAACAGACACUGGAGUGGUAUUUGGCAUGUGUGGUUUGAGAUGUUACACCUCAUAAGUUCAGCUUGAAAUGGAGUUAGAAGUAAGGGCAAUAUAUGCUGGUAAUCAGAGCUAUGUGAUUUUGGAAUCCAGAUUUCUUUAACCUAUUUUGAGACAAAUUUGGAAUAUUAAGGAAAAAUUUGUUUAUUUUACUAACAUCUAGGAAUGCUAACUUUGAGAAUAGUUCUUGAUCUUUCACACAAGAGUUCUGUUUUGGACUCAGUCUAGGAGUCAAGGAUAAAUACAGGUCAUAGAUAUGUUUCAGGCUUUGGAUUUGAAAUUCUUUUGUAUCACUUGUGAUCAGCAUUGUAUAAUAGUGUAAAAGUACUUAUUUUUGAAAGAGUUGUCAUUGGUGAUUGAACUCUAACAUUUAAAGAGUUAUGUAGGGUAAAAGGCCUGCUAUAAUUGGACUUACCUUGAACUAAAUUAGACACUUGUCAGGGGAUCUAAUGUGUGAUUCCAAAAUAUGGUAAAGUAAGUGAGCCGUGGAAAUUCAAUCCUGUAGGUAUUAUUGCAGAUUCCUAGAUAUUAAGUCAGUUUGCUUUGGGGAGGAAAUGUGAUAUUGGUUAAUAGUUUUGAUUUCAUUUUUUUUGGUGUGUAUUUUUUAAAUCUAUCCUCCUUCCCAAAAUAGGUGAGCAGUUUUAUAUUUCUUUAUGUGGUUUGCCUUUUUUCUUAUAACUUCCUUUUACCACUUUUCUGAAUGCUGCACUUUCAUUUGGUAGAUGGUGGCUGUUACAUAGCCAAGGUCAUUAAGUUGUCGACUGUGGUUUGGAAUAAGCUUUCUUGAAUGUAAGUUAUUUCACAUAAACCAAGAAAUAAAUGGAAAAAAAUCUCUUGAAUAGAAAAAAGUUACUGUAUGUUGACAAAAUCUAAUUUUGCAUAUGCUUUCAAUGAUUGCUUUUUGCAAUUCAAAAUAUCCUGUGCUAUUAAAUUUCUGUAUGUUAGAGUACAGCCAUUUUCUUGAGAUGAGAUGCUUCAUAUUUAAUUAUAUCAAAAUUCCUUCUCUAUGACUCUUGAUUUCAGACUUCAACAUUAGUGCAUCUAGUGAAUUUGAUACAAUAUACAACAGAAAAGUUGUUUUCAAUUUUUGGUGAUUAAGGCAGAGGAGGGGAAUUACAAGCAAACAAAAACCAAUUAUAAAUGUUUUAAGCUCUUCAGAAAAUAUUGGUGCUAGAAAUGGGAGUCUAGUGUGAUAAAUUGACUUUUUGGCUUUUUUUUUUUUUAAUUUCACCUACUACUACCAGCCUGAGUGAGAUUAAAUGUGGGAAUUUAAAGCAGAAAAAUUAGCUGUGCUUUAGAGUGCCCUUUUUGUGCCACUGAUUCCAAGAGGCUUGGGGUAGGAGAAACUAAAGAUCUUUAUGAUAAAUGCAAAAUAUAGAAUGCAAUUGUAGUCUGUCUUAGCCACCAGUAGACAUACGUACAGCAUUUACAAGGUAUCAGAGCUCAGUGUUGAUACACGGAAUGGCAAUCAGCUCCAGUAUUUCUGAAAAAAUGUGAGGACAUAACUGCCAUGUCGAUGUGAGAGCAUCUUGGACCAAUAAAGGUAAGUAUAUUUCCUUCUUCAAAAUAAAUAGUCUUUCAUUUAUGACCUCAGCGAGAUUCAAGUGAACCAUAUGCCUUCCCAGCCUCCUAAAGCUGAGUAGGUGGGGUAUCAGUUUGAAAGUGUCAGCGAUGUGGGAUUUGUUUUCUCACUCACAGCUAAAUCGAAUUAAAAAAAAAAACUAUGAAGUGAAUGACUUUUUUACAAAUGUUAAAGACUAUAUGGAGACACAUAUUUUAAAGAAUCACUAUUUGUAGUGGGUAGAAUAGUAGAACCUCAGAAAGUAACCUUACAUGGAAAACGAGUCUUUGCAGAGGUAUAACCAAGGUGAGGAUCUAGAGAUGUGAUCAUCUUGAAUGAGGGUGAGCCCCCAAGUCCAAUGGUGAGCAUUGAUAUAUGAUACUGAAAAGAAUACACAGGGACAUGGGGGAAAAAAAAAAACAUGUGAAGUCAAAGGAAGAGAAUUAUGUUGCCACAAACCAUAGUCAGCCUAGUGCCAUCAGAAGGUGGGAGAGGCAAGGAAGGAUUCUCCCAUAGAGCCUUCAGAGGGAGCAUAGCCCUGUUGAUACCAUGGUUUCAGACUUCUGCCCUACAGAACUGUGAGAGAAAAAAAAUUAUUAAGCCCUUAAUUUUAUGGUAAUUUGUUACCAUUGCCCCAGAAAACCAAUACAGUAUUAUAUAAAGAGUUUCUACAAAUAAAAAAAUGAGAUUAUCAACAACUCAGUAGAAAAAUGUGAACAUCUUAUAAACAGGCAAUUCACAGAAAACAUAAGUAGCUAAUAAUUAUGUAAAAUAUGCUCAGUCACUAAUACUUGAAAAAAUUUAAACAAUGGAUAUAUUUUAAUUGACAAAUAUUAAGUCAACUUAUAAUACAAUGUUGGUGAGGUAGGUUCUCUCAUACACAUUUAGUGGGCAAAUGAAUUCGUAAUCGUUUAUUGGAAGACAGUUUAACAGUACCUGUCAAUAUUUAAAAUGUAUAUACCCUACAAUCCCGAAACUUCACUUCUGGGAGUCUAUUCCCACAAAAAUAGCAAUGAUGCAAAAGCCUGUAUCUAUAAGAAUGUUGCAGCAUCAUAGUAGUAAAACACUGGAAACAUCCUAAAUAUCUUUUAUAGUGGAACAGUUAAACAACUAAAGACACUGUGGCCCAAGUGGGGGAAUAUAGCAAUUAGGAGCAGAGACUGUGGAGCCAGACUGCUGGUUUACCUCCUGACUGUUAGUUUGGUGGCUUUGUGAUCUCAAGCUAGUUACUUAAUCUUUUGGCCCCUCAGUUUCUUCAUCUACAAAAUGAGGAUGAUGGUAGUUAACACUUCACAGUGCUGUUAUUUGUAAUAAAGUGGUGUGUAUAUGUAAAAGGUUUAAAACUGACUGGAUCAUAGUAAAUACUUAAAAUAUAUGUGAAUGCUAUUUCUAUUUGAUUAUUAAUAUUAAUAUGGCUCUAUUAAAAAGUAAAAUAUAUAGAUAGACGGUAUUGGAACUAUACUUAUGACAUAUCAUCAAUGUAAAAAGUAAGUUACAGAAUUGGGUAUAUAGCACAACCAAUUUUUGUAUCCUACAUACAUGCAGAGAAAGUGUGUACCCGCAUGUAAAUAGAUUUCCAUACACAGUUUAUGUGCUAAUAUGGUUAACUGCUCCUAUGUAACAAAACAACUUAUAUUUAGUGGCUUAAAACUGUUUAUUUCACUUUUUUUAUGCAUCAACUGUGUUUAGUAGGGUGGCACUCCCUUGACCUUCUCACAUGUGCCUAGAGUUGGAGACAUUUGAAGUAAUUACUUGGUCUUGGAAAUCUAGUAUGGCUCAAUUACAUGUCUGGAAGUUGAUGCUGACUCAGUUGGGAGUAUUAAAUAUAGCACCUACAUAUGGCCACUCUAUGUGGCUUGAGCUUUUCCAUACCAUGGGGCUGAGUUCUGUGAUGGAGUUUCACAAAAGCAAACAUCUUAAGAAAUCCAGGUGGAAGCUCUUAAGUCUUCUAACCUGACCUCAAAAAUCAUACAGCUUCACUUUUAUUAUAUUUUGUAGGUCAAAAGCAAGACAUAGAGCUAGCUCUGAGUCAAGCAAUGGGAAUUACACACAGUGUGAAUACUCGAUGUGUGGUUUAUUGAAGGAGGCAUCUUUGGAGAGAAGUCUACUGCAUAUGGGUAGAUAAAAAUUUGGAAGUAUUUAUCCUAUCUUUUAGCAGUGUUUACUUCUUGGGGUGGGGAGAAUAGAAAA